rnacentral:rRNA from 1 species
GUGGGGAAUUUUGGACAAUGGGCGCAAGCCUGAUCCAGCAAUGCCGCGUGCAGGAAGAAGGCCUUCGGGUUGUAAACUGCUUUUGUACGGAACGAAACGGUCCUGGUUAAUACCCGGGGCUAAUGACGGUACCGUAAGAAUAAGCACCUGCUAACUACGCGCCAGCAGCCGCGGUAAUACGUAGGGUGCAAGCGUUAAUCGGAAUUACUGGGCGUAAAGCGUGCGCAGGCGGUGCUGUAAGACAGGCGUGAAAUCCCCGGGCUUAACCUGGGAAUUGCGGUUGUGACGGCAGUGCUGGAGUGCGGCAGAGGGGGAUGGAAUUCCGCGUGUAGCAGUGAAAUGCGUAGAUAUGCGGAGGAACACCGAUGGCGAAGGCAAUCCCCUGGGCCUGCACUGACGCUCAUGCACGAAAGCGUGGGGAGCAAACAGGAUUAGAUACCCGGGUAGUCC